CUGCUUCCGAUUUGAGAAACACCAAUGUUAGACUCAAGGAUACAGUAACAAAGUUGAGAUCUAGCAGAAACUUUUGUGUGGAUAUCAUACUCUUAUGUUUAAUUCUUGGGAUCGCUGCAUACCUAUACAAUGUAUUAAAGUGAAUUUCGCAAGGCCAAGAUACAAUAUUUGAUGAUUCGGUACUUUUAUUGUUGGGUAUGAGAAUGACUAAACGUAAAUGCUUUAUAUGUAAUUUUUGGAAGGCAGGAUUUUAUAGAAAGUCGGAACUGUUAUAG